UACGGAGGAGGCGAGCGUUAUCCGGAAUUAUUGGGCGUAAAGCGUCCGUAGAUGGUCGUUUCAAGUCUGCUGUCAAAGACCGGGGCUUAACCCCAGAAAGGCGGUGGAAACUGAACAGCUAGAGAGAGGUAGGGGUAGAGGGAAUUCCCAGUGUAGCGGUGAAAUGCGUAGAUAUUGGGAAGAACAUCAGUGGCGAAAGCGCUCUACUGGACCUUAUCUGACAUUGAGGGACGAAAGCUAGGGGAGCGAAUGGG
rnacentral:rRNA from 1 species